ACGGAAGGCAGCAGUGGGGAAUAUUGCACAAUGGGGGAAACCCUGAUGCAGCGACGCCGCGUGAGCGAAGAAGUAUUUCGGUAUGUAAAGCUCUAUCAGCAGGGAAGAAAAUGACGGUACCUGACUAAGAAGCCCCGGCUAACUACGUGCCAGCAGCCGCGGUAAUACGUAGGGGGCAAGCGUUAUCCGGAUUUACUGGGUGUAAAGGGAGCGUAGACGGCAAGGUAAGUCUGAAGUGAAAUGCCGGGGCUCAACCCCGGAACUGCUUUGGAAACUAUCUCGCUCGAGUGCCGGAGGGGUAAGCGGAAUUCCUAGUGUAGCGGUGAAAUGCGUAGAUAUUAGGAGGAACACCAGUGGCGAAGGCGGCUUACUGGACGGUAACUGACGUUGAGGCUCGAAAGCGUGGGGAGCAAACAGGAUUAGAUACCCUGGUA
rnacentral:rRNA from 1 species